rnacentral:rRNA from 1 species
UGGCGACCGGCGCACGGGUGAGUAACACGUAUCCAACCUGCCGAUGACUCGGGGAUAGCCUUUCGAAAGAAAGAUUAAUACCCGAUGGCAUAGUUCUUCCGCAUGGUGGAACUAUUAAAGAAUUUCGGUCAUCGAUGGGGAUGCGUUCCAUUAGCUUGUUGGCGGGGUAACGGCCCACCAAGGCAUCGAUGGAUAGGGGUUCUGAGAGGAAGGUCCCCCACAUUGGAACUGAGACACGGUCCAAACUCCUACGGAAGGCAGCAG